rnacentral:rRNA from 1 species
CUUAACACAUGCAAGUCGAACGGAAAGGCCCUGCUUUUGUGGGGUGCUCGAGUGGCGAACGGGUGAGUAACACGUGAGUAACCUGCCCUUGACUUUGGGAUAACUUCAGGAAACUGGGGCUAAUACCGGAUAGGAGCUCCUGCUGCAUGGUGGGGGUUGGAAAGUUUCGGCGGUUGGGGAUGGACUCGCGGCUUAUCAGCUUGUUGGUGGGGUAGUGGCUUACCAAGGCUUUGACGGGUAGCCGGCCUGAGAGGGUGACCGGCCACAUUGGGACUGAGAUACGGCCCAGACUCCUACGGGAGGCAGCAGUGGGGAAUAUUGCACAAUGGGCGGAAGCCUGAUGCAGCAACGCCGCGUGCGGGAUGACGGCCUUCGGGUUGUAAACCGCUUUCGCCUGUGACGAAGCGUGAGUGACGGUAAUGGGUAAAGAAGCACCGGCUAACUACGUGCCAGCAGCCGCGGUGAUACGUAGGGUGCGAGCGUUGUCCGGAUUUAUUGGGCGUAAAGGGCUCGUAGGUGGUUGAUCGCGUCGGAAGUGUAAUCUUGGGGCUUAACCCUGAGCGUGCUUUCGAUACGGGUUGACUUGAGGAAGGUAGGGGAGAAUGGAAUUCCUGGUGGAGCGGUGGAAUGCGCAGAUAUCAGGAGGAACACCAGUGGCGAAGGCGGUUCUCUGGGCCUUUCCUGACGCUGAGGAGCGAAAGCGUGGGGAGCGAACAGGCUUAGAUACCCUGGUAGUCCACGCUGUAAACGGUGGGUACUAGGUGUGGGGUCCAUUCCACGGGUUCCGUGCCGUAGCUAACGCUUUAAGUACCCCGCCUGGGGAGUACGGCCGCAAGGCUAAAACUCAAAGGAAUUGACGGGGCCCCGCACAAGCGGCGGAGCAUGCGGAUUAAUUCGAUGCAACGCGUAGAACCUUACCUGGGUUUGACAUGGAUCGGGAGUGCUCAGAGAUGGGUGUGCCUCUUUUGGGGUCGGUUCACAGGUGGUGCAUGGCUGUCGUCAGCUCGUGUCGUGAGAUGUUGGGUUAAGUCCCGCAACGAGCGCAACCCUUGUUCACUGUUGCCAGCACGUUAUGGUGGGGACUCAGUGGAGACCGCCGGGGUCAACUCGGAGGAAGGUGGGGAUGACGUCAAGUCAUCAUGCCCCUUAUGUCCAGGGCUUCACGCAUGCUACAAUGGCUGGUACAGAGAGUGGCGAGCCUGUGAGGGUGAGCGAAUCUCGGAAAGCCGGUCUCAGUUCGGAUUGGGGUCUGCAACUCGACCUCAUGAAGUCGGAGUCGCUAGUAAUCGCAGAUCAGCAACGCUGCGGUGAAUACGUUCCCGGGGCUUGUACACACCGCCCGUCAAGUCAUGAAAGUUGGUAACACCCGAAGCCGGUGGCCUAACCGU